rnacentral:rRNA from 1 species
AUUGAACGCUGGCGGCAGGCUUAACACAUGCAAGUCGAGCGGAGAGAGGUAGCUUGCUACUGAUCUUAGCGGCGGACGGGUGAGUAAUGCUUAGGAAUCUGCCUAUUAGUGGGGGACAACAUUUCGAAAGGAAUGCUAAUACCGCAUACGUCCUACGGGAGAAAGCAGGGGAUCUUCGGACCUUGCGCUAAUAGAUGAGCCUAAGUCGGAUUAGCUAGUUGGUGGGGUAAAGGCCUACCAAGGCGACGAUCUGUAGCGGGUCUGAGAGGAUGAUCCGCCACACUGGGACUGGAACACGGCCCAGACUCCUACGGGAGGCAGCAGUGGGGAAUAUUGGACAAUGGGCGGAAGCCUGAUCCAGCCAUGCCGCGUGUGUGAAGAAGGCCUUAUGGUUGUAAAGCACUUUGAGCGAGGAGGAGGCUACUUUAGUUAAUACCUAGAGAUAGUGGACGUUACUCGCAGAAUAAGCACCGGCUAACUCUGUGCCAGCCGCCGCCGUAA